GACGAACGCUGGCGGCGUGCCUAAUACAUGCAAGUCGAGCGAAGUUUUUCUGGUGCUUGCACUAGAAAAACUUAGCGGCGAACGGGUGAGUAACACGUAAAGAACCUGCCUCAUAGACUGGGACAACUAUUGGAAACGAUAGCUAAUACCGGAUAACAGUAUUUCUCGCAUGAGAGAUAUUUAAAAGUUGGUUAUGCUAACACUAUGAGAUGGUUUUGCGGUGCAUUAGCUAGUUGGUGGGGUAAAGGCCCACCAAGGCGACGAUGCAUAGCCGACCUGAGAGGGUGAUCGGCCACACUGGGACUGAGACACGGCCCAGACUCCUACGGGAGGCAGCAGUAGGGAAUCUUCCGCAAUGGGCGAAAGCCUGACGGAGCAACGCCGCGUGAGUGAAGAAGGAUUUCGGUUCGUAAAGCUCUGUUGUUAGGGAAGAAUGGAUAUGUAGUAACUAUACAUGUAAGAGACGGUACCUAACCAGAAAGCCACGGCUAACUACGUG
rnacentral:rRNA from 1 species